UCCCUCAUGGCUCAGAUGGUAAAAGUAUCUGCUUGCAAUGCAGGAAACCCGGGUUCGAUCUCUGGAUGGGGAA
rnacentral:tRNA from 1 species